rnacentral:tRNA from 1 species
GCCUUAGUGGUGUAAUGGUUAGCACACUCGGCGCGUAUUCGAGAGAUCCAGGUUCGAGUCCCGGCACAGGCA